CCUACGGGAGGCAGCAGUGGGGAAUAUUGCACAAUGGGGGAAACCCUGAUGCAGCGACGCCGCGUGGGCGAGGAAGUACCUCGGUAUGUAAAGCCCUAUCAGCAGGGAAGAAACAGGACAGUACCUGACUAAGAAGCCCCGGCUAACUCCGUGCCAGCAGCCGCGGUAAUACGGAGGAUGCCAGCGUUAUCCGGAUUUAUUGGGUUUAAAGGGUGCGCAGGCGGUCUGUUAAGUCAGCGGUCAAAGCCCGGGGCUCACCCCCGGCCCGCCGUUGAAACUGGCAGUCACGAGUUGGAGAGAAGUAUGCGGAAUGCGCGGUGUAGCGGUGAAAUGCAUAGAUAUCGCGCAGAACUCCGAUUGCGAAGGCAGCAUGCCGGCUCCACACUGACGCUGAGGCACGAAAGCGUGGGUAUCGAACAGGAUUAGAUACACUUGUAGUC
rnacentral:rRNA from 1 species